rnacentral:rRNA from 1 species
UACAGAGGGUGCAAGCGUUGUUCGGAAUUAUUGGGCGUAAAGCGCUUGUAGGCGGUCUGUUAAGUCGCGUGUGAAAUCCCCAGGCUUAACCUGGGAAGUGCGCGCGAAACUGGCGGACUUGAGUGCCGGAGAGGGUCGCGGAAUUCCCGGUGUAGAGGUGAAAUUCGUAGAUAUCGGGAGGAACACCAGUGGCGAAGGCGGCGACCUGGACGGACACUGACGCUGAGACGCGAAAGCGUGGGGGGCAAACAGG